GCAAGUCGAGCGAGACCUUCGGGUCUAGCGGCGGACGGGUUAGUAACGCGUGGGAACGUGCCCUUCUCUGCGGAAUAGCCACUGGAAACGGUGAGUAAUACCGCAUACGCCCUUCGGGGGAAAGAUUUAUCGGAGAAGGAUCGGCCCGCGUUAGAUUAGAUAGUUGGUGAGGUAAUGGCUCACCAAGGCAACGAUCCCUAGCUGGUUUGAGAGGAUGAUC
rnacentral:rRNA from 1 species